GCGAGAAACCUUUGCAAUGUGCGCAAGCACGACAAGGUUAAUCCGAGUGUUUCCUGCUAAAGGAAUCUUUUGUUAGUUCUAAAACCACUGAUGAAUAAGAGGUGGGCAAGUUCUGGUGUCAGCCGCCGCGGUAAAACCAGCACCUCAAGUGGUCAGGAGGAUUAUUGGGCCUAAAGCAUCCGUAGCCGGUUCUGUAAGUUUCGGUUAAAUCCACUAGCUUAACUAAUGGGCUGCCGAAAAUACUGCAGAACUAGGGAGUGGGAGAGGUAGACGGUACUCGGUAGGAAGGGGUAAAAUCCUUUGAUCUAUUGAUGACCACCUGUGGCGAAGGCGGUCUACCAGAACACGUUCGACGGUGAGGGAUGAAAGCUGGGGGAGCAAACCGGAUUAGAUACCCAAGUAGUCCCUGAGCGGGCUGGCAAGGCGCAU
rnacentral:rRNA from 1 species